rnacentral:rRNA from 1 species
GUAGGCAGCGAGCGUUGUUCGGAGUUACUGGGCGUAAAGAGUGCGUAGGCGGUGCGGUAAGUUUGGUGUGAAAUCUCCCGGCUCAACUGGGAGGGUGCGCCGAAGACUGCCGUGCUUGAGUGUGGGAGAGGUAAGCGGAAUUCCUGGUGUAGCGGUGAAAUGCGUAGAUAUCAGGAGGAACACCUGCGGUGUAGACAGCUUACUGGACCAUUGCUGACGCUGAGGCACGAAAGCGUGGGUAGCAAACAGGAUUAGAUACCCUGGUAGUCCACGCCCUAAACGAUGCAUACUUGGUGUGGGCAGUUCAUUCUGUCCGUGCCGGAGCUAACGCGUUAAGUAUGCCGCCUGGGGAGUACGGUCGCAAGGCUGAA